rnacentral:rRNA from 1 species
UACGUAGGGUGCAAGCGUUGUCCGGAAUUAUUGGGCGUAAAGAGCUCGUAGGCGGUCUGUUGCGUCGGCUGUGAAAACCCGGGGCUCAACUCCGGGCCUGCAGCCGAUACGGGCAGACUAGAGUUCGGCAGGGGAGACUGGAAUUCCUGGUGUAGCGGUGAAAUGCGCAGAUAUCAGGAGGAACACCGGUGGCGAAGGCAGGUCUCUGGGCAUUAACUGACGCUGAGGAGCGAAAGCAUGGGGAGCGAACAGG